rnacentral:rRNA from 1 species
GACGUACGCUGGCGGCGUGCUUAACACAUGCAAGUCGAACGGAAAGGCCCUGCUUUUGUGGGGUGCUCGAGUGGCGAACGGGUGAGUAACACGUGAGUAACCUACCCUUGACUUUGGGAUAACUUCAGGAAACUGGGGCUAAUACCGGAUAGGAGCUCCUGCUGCAUGGUGGGGGUUGGAAAGUUUCGGCGGUUGGGGAUGGACUCGCGGCUUAUCAGCUUGUUGGUGGGGUAGUGGCUUACCAAGGCUUUGACGGGUAGCCGGCCUGAGAGGGUGACCGGCCACAUUGGGACUGAGAUACGGCCCAGACUCCUACGGGAGGCAGCAGUGGGGAAUAUUGCACAAUGGGCGGAAGCCUGAUGCAGCAACGCCGCGUGCGGGAUGACGGCCUUCGGGUUGUAAACCGCUUUCGCCUGUGACGAAGCGUGAGUGACGGUAAUGGGUAAAGAAGCACCGGCUAACUACGUG